AUUGAACGCUGGCGGCAGGCUUCACACAUGCAAGUCGAGCGAGCGGCGGACGGGUGAGUAAUGUUUGGGAAACUGCCUGAUGGAGGGGGAUAACUACUGGAAACGGUAGCUAAUACCGCAUACCAUCAGAUGUGCACAGAUGGGAUUCGCUAGUUGGUGGGGUAAUGGUUCACCUAGGCGACGAUCCCUAGCUGGUCUGAGAGGAUGCCAAGUCACACGGGAAAGGAGACAAGGUCAAGACUGCGACGGGAGGCAGCAGUGGGGAAUAUUGCACAAGGGGGGCAAGCCUGAGGCAGCCAUGCCGCGUGGUGGAAGAAGGCCUUCGGGUUGUAAAGCACUUUCGGCCAGGAGGCGUUACCCGCAGAAGAAGCACCGGCUAACGCCGUGCCAGCAGCCGCGGUAAUUC
rnacentral:rRNA from 1 species